AUUUUAAUAGCUUAUUUAGAGUAUGAUAUUGAAGAUAUCAGGGAAAUAAUUUUUAUUUUAAAAUA
rnacentral:tRNA from 1 species